rnacentral:lncRNA from 1 species
GCAUUCAUUGAUUAGUGGUGUUUCUAUAUUGCAGUCCACAAAAAGAAAAAUUGAAUUACCAACCAUGAGCAAAAAAAACAGACAGAUAAAGUUCAUAAACUAGGUCACUAAGGGGGGUACUAGACUGGUUCACACUAGGACAGGACACCUAAGGCUUAGAAGAGCUGGACGGUUGGGUUUGUAGCAGAUUGAGAAUUUGUUGGAGCAUUCCUUCAUUCUUCUCCUUAUCCUUUGCAAGUUCAGCUCUCAACCCAUUCCUUUCUCCCUCCAAUUCAGCAAUUCUGGCAUGAAGCCUUGUUAUCUCAACAUCCCUGUUCCCAACCUCCUGAACCAAGGCUCUGACCUUGCUGUUCACAAGAGUCUUCACAGAUGAACCAGGUUCAACUGGGCAUGUACUGAGCAGAUAAUCACAAGCUUAAAGGGUCUUGAUGCCGAAGUGCUCUUUGUUGGAAGCCAUUUCCCAUUUCUUCAAGGGAACAUUCAGUCUUUCAAGCACAGUUGUCAAGAU